AGACUGCAGAGAAAGCUCAGGACCCAGCCUUCUGAUCUACCAGUCGCCUGUGUACCUUUGUACUUUCUACAGUGAAAGUUGCAACAGGAUCUCCCUUUCUCAAUAAAUUCGUCUGUGGUGGAGAAAAUCAGCAUGAGAACUACAGGCCAAGUUAUCAGAUGCAAAGCAGCCAUACUCUGGAAGCCUGGUGCACCAUUUUCUAUUGGGGAGGUAGAAGUGGCCCCACCAAAGGCAAAGGAAGUUCGCAUAAAGGUUGUGGCCACCGGACUGUGUGGUACAGAGAUGAAAGUGUUGGGGAGUAAACACUUGGACCUCUUGUAUCCCACCAUCUUGGGCCAUGAAGGGGCUGGAAUCGUUGAGAGUGUUGGAGAAGGAGUAAGCACAGUGAAACCAGGUGACAAAGUUAUCACACUCUUUCUGCCACAGUGUGGAGAAUGUACCUCUUGCCUGAAUUCUGAGGGCAAUUUUUGUAUACAAUUCAAACAGUCAAAAACCCAACUGAUGUCUGAUGGUACCAGCAGGUUUACCUGCAAGGGAAAAUCAAUAUAUCACUUUGGUAAUACCAGCACCUUCUCUGAAUAUACAGUGAUAAAGGAAAUCUCAGUUGCCAAGAUUGAUGCAGUCGCUCCUCUGGAGAAAGUAUGCCUAAUUAGCUGUGGCUUUUCCACAGGGUUUGGUGCUGCAAUCAAUACUGCCAACGUGACUCCAGGUUCUACCUGUGCUGUGUUUGGCCUGGGAGGAGUCGGCUUGUCUGUUGUCAUGGGUUGUAAAGCGGCAGGAGCAGCCAGGAUCAUUGGAGUGGAUGUCAACAAGGAGAAAUUUAAGAAGGCACAGGAAUUGGGUGCUACUGAGUGCUUCAAUCCUCAGGACUUAAAGAAACCCAUUCAAGAAGUUUUAUUUGAUAUGACAGAUGCUGGUAUAGACUUCUGCUUUGAGGCCAUUGGAAAUCUGGAAUGUUCUGGCAGCUGCCCUCGCCUCCUGCAAUGAGAGCUAUGGGGUCUGUGUGGUUAUUGGGGUGUUGCCUGCUGGUGUUCAACUCAAAAUCAGUGGCCAGUUGUUCUUCUCAGGACGUUCUUUGAAGGGUUCUGUUUUUGGAGGCUGGAAGAGCAGACAGCACAUCCCUAAACUGGUUGCUGAUUAUAUGGCAGAGAAGUUGAAUCUAGAUCCACUAAUUACUCAUACUAUGAAUCUUGAUAAAAUCAAUGAAGCAGUUGAAUUAAUGAAAACUGGAAAAUGUAUCCGCUGUAUCCUGUUACUUUAAGUGUAAUGUAAUAUAUGCAAGACCCAAAGGAUAUUUCACCAACUCAAUAAUUUUCAUGAUUUAGAAGAAUUAUUCACGCAAUCCCAUUUCUAUAUUCUGACUUCUGAUUCACUCUGCAGUGGACCUAUAUCUGGCUUCUGACCUAACCAUUUCAUCAAAAUUGUUCUUAUGUAACCCAGCAUCACCAAGGAUCAGCCUCCUUUUCAGAGCUAGAUUAAGGUUGGCUUGAAUCACCCAACUCCACAUCCUUCAGACAUAAAAGGUCAAUGCAAGAUGCUCCCAUUUUCAUAGUUCCUCUACCUGUGGACCUUUAUAUUUUUGUACACUAUGUCUCUCUCACAGGCCUAGACAUGAAACUCUGCCAUUUUACUCUAAAGAAACAAAACUCCACAUUAAUGAGUUUAUUGAAGAUUCAGGUUAACCUGAAUCAAGUUAACCCAGUCUCAAAUGCUCACUUAUCCUAUCUCCUUGGCACAAAUCUCUCGUCUCCUGGAUUGCCAAAGGAAAUUCAAAUUAUUCUUCAAUUGGUCAGGAUGAUUUGACUAUCAGCAGCUCAUAGUACCCAUCUUCAUAACUAAGCCACCUAGGGAUCCAGCAGAAAAAAAAGGGGUGAGGGGAGUCAUCAUACAUGAGGUGGAUCAUUUACCAGGAUCCACACUUCCUACAAAGCGGUUGUAAUAUUAAACAACAAAACUGUUUUUUAUUCCAAUCUUCACAUAAAACAGGAAUAAUUGUAUACUUUUUUACUAAUGUGUCCCACAGAGUUUUUCCUCCAAGAAGUGGCUUAGGGGAAAAUGAGCCCCAGUAAUGUUUUGUGGCAUCCAAUCCUUCUAUCCUGACCCUUUGACUUUCUGCCCUAGCCCCUCUUAGUUCUCCUAGAAUUAGGCCUAAGGUUAAGUGCCCUCUUGGGAUAUGACUUCCUUCCUUUCCUCUUGAUACAAAAAGAGCCUAUUACCAACCCUCAUACACACAACAAGAGUUCCUUUCCUAGUUGCAGACUCUUCUGCUCCAGCUGGACUCCCCUAGCUCUGGGCUCCCACUAAAUCACACAGGGGCCCCUGCAUGUCAGUAAGCUUUGGCUGACCUUGGGAGACCAAAAAAUGGAAUAUCAUUUUUUGAUCUAAACAAAAUAGUUUCCUGAUUUAACAUUGGCCAGGAAGGUGGGCUGCACCCUCAGUCUCUUUGUCCCAUCAUGGUUUUCACAUGAUAUCAAAGGACUCUCAUGAGAGUCUGAUCCUCAUGAGUUGGGCAUCCUGUGUUUCCCUUUAGGGGCCUGCUUCCUUCAGAUAGAGGAGAUGGGUGCUAUGAAACCUAUUCACAUUGGACUUGGGAUGGCUCUUCUCCAUCUUCCCAAGUCUGAGCUGGAGCCUCCAUGCCCAACUCUGCUCUACUCUUCUAUUUCCUGACAGCAGCUAAGGCAUGCUCCUGUUCUGCCCCCAAAUUAAGCUUACUAACAGUGAGAACUUGGAGGAGUCUUCAGGUCUUGGGAAAUCCAAGUUUUCCCAGAAAUGUUUUGUUGUAAACAGUGUCCACACUCUUUGCUCUAAUAAAGCUCGGUUCCUUAAGCUAC